rnacentral:rRNA from 1 species
UACAGAGACUGCAAGCGUUAUUCGGAUUCACUGGGCGUAAAGGGUGCGCAGGCGGCCAAGUGUGUUAGGCGAUGAAAGCCCGGGGCUUUAACCCCGGAAUUGCAUCCUAAAACUACAUGGCUAGAGCAUUGGAGAGGGUAGCGGAAUUCACGGUGUAGCAGUGAAAUGCGUAGAUAUCGUGAGGAACACCAGAGGCGAAGGCGGCUACCUGGACAAU